rnacentral:lncRNA from 1 species
CUGAGGAUCCACGAGGGCAUGUGGCACCAGCUGGUUGGUGAAACCCAGGAGGACGUCGACUUGGUGUUCGGCGAAAUGGUGGCGUGGCUUCGUACGCGAGCUGAACGCGCCUCCGCCGCCGCCGCCGCCGUCGCGAACGGUGGCGCUGCCUAGGCUAGUCUAUAGGGGUUAGUAAGGUUUUAGUGAUGUGAUCACUGUGUUAAGUUAAACUUAGUUGGAACAGAGAAGGAAGAAGUAGCAUAAGCAGCCAAUGGAAGCAUGCCAUGUCACUUGAAGUUUAAAUAAAAAUUAUUAAUUCAUAUAGAAUUAAUAUGAUAAAACAAAUAUGUGUGACAUUCUUAAAUUGUUCAACCACCCACCCUUAUGAUUCAUACCAAAAAAUAAAUAAAAAUAAAAAUAAUGCAAUUUUCCAAACUUAAAGAUUAUGAAUAUGAGGAUAAAAAUUGAAGAGAAUGAAAAUGGUACCUUAGAAUAGGUCAUCAUAUCAUACAACAAAUAACCCACAUUUCUUGGGCAAUUAUGAGAAAAUAGAGAUUG